GGAGGUGGGGAAGACAGGGCUCCAGCUACCACAGGACGGGCUCUGGGUAUAGCCGUUCCAGUCAGGGACAGCCGUGGAGAGACCAGGGACCAGGAAGCAGACAGUAUGAGCAUGACCAGUGGAGAAGGUACUAGUCAACCUCCAGAAAGAGUAUGGAGAGAAAAAGAGGCACACCUGGACGCAGAGCCCUGCCAGCGCCCUCCUCUGCUGUUGCAGCUGCAAGGAGACCAUGCCUGUGGGAGCCAGGCCUCGCUUGCAUGAAGAAGGAACGAUGCCUUUUUCAAUGGUGUCUCCCUCCCAUUGUGCAGAAGAGCUUUUGUUGGCUUCUCUCCCGAGCUUGUGCCUGAUUCUGUGGCCCAAAACAAUCAUUGUUAACAUCUUCAUGUGUUUCAUUCUGAUCUUUCAUUCAUAUAUAUGAUGCCUAGCUAAUUUCAUUUUAAAAUAAAUGGGAAUCUGUUGUAUUCUGAUUUUUUAUUAGC
rnacentral:lncRNA from 1 species